GAUGAAGAACGCAGCGAAAUGCGAUAAGUAAUGUGAAUUGCAGAAUUCAGUGAAUCAUCGAAUCUUUGAACGCACAUUGCGCCCCUUGGUAUUCCGAGGGGCAUGCCUGUUCGAGCGUCAUUAUAACCCCUCAAGCUCAGCUUGGUGUUGGGGCCUGCUGCACUGGCAGCCCUUAAAAUCAGUGGCGGCGCCAUCUGGCUCUAAGCGUAGUAAUUCUUCUCGCUAUGGAGUCCUGGUGGAUGCUUGCCAUCAACCCCCGAUUUUUCUAUGGUUGACCUCGGAUCAGGUAGGGAUACCCGCUGAACUUAAGCAUAUCAAUAAGCGGAGGA
rnacentral:misc_RNA from 1 species